CCGCCCUUAGCUCAGUUGGUAGAGCGGCAGACUGUAGUGUGCAGCGAUCUGUAGGCCCUUGGUUCGAAUCCGAGAGGGCGGA